CCUACGGGUGGCAGCAGUGGGGGAUAUUGCACAAUGGGGGAAACCCUGAUGCAGCGACGCCGCGUGGGCGAAGAAGUAUUUCGGUAUGUAAAGCCAUAUCAGCAGGGAAGAAGAAAUGACGGUACCUGAGUAAGAAGCACCGGCUAAAUACGUGCAAGAAGCAGCGGGAAUACGUAUGGUGCAAGCGUUAUCCGGAUUUACUGGGUGGAAAGGGAGCGCAGGCGGCCUGUAAAGCCUGAUGGGAAAGCCCGCGGCCCAACCGCGGGGCUGCAUUGGGAACUGCCGGGCUGGAGUGCCGGAGAGGUAGGCGGAAUUCCUAGUGUAGCGGUGAAAUGCGUAGAUAUUAGGAGGAACACCAGUGGCGAAGGCGGCCUACUGGACGGUGACUGACGCUGAGGCUCGAAAGCGUGGGGAGCAAACAGGAUUAGAUACCCGAGUAGUC
rnacentral:rRNA from 1 species